UGGGGAAUUUUGGACAAUGGGCGAAAGCCUGAUCCAGCAAUGCCGCGUGUGUGAAGAAGGCCUUCGGGUUGUAAAGCACUUUUGUCCGGAAAGAAAUCCUUGGCUCUAAUACAGUCGGGGGAUGACGGUACCGGAAGAAUAAGCACCGGCUAACUACGUGCCAGCAGCCGCGGUAAUACGUAGGGUGCAAGCGUUAAUCGGAAUUACUGGGCGUAAAGCGUGCGCAGGCGGUUUGCUAAGACCGAUGUGAAAUCCCCGGGCUCAACCUGGGAACUGCAUUGGUGACUGGCAGGCUAGAGUAUGGCAGAGGGGGGUAGAAUUCCACGUGUAGCAGUGAAAUGCGUAGAGAUGUGGAGGAAUACCGAUGGCGAAGGCAGCCCCCUGGGCCAAUACUGACGCUCAUGCACGAAAGCGUGGGGAGCAAACAGGAUUAGAUACCCCUGGUGAGCCACGCCCUAAAACGAUGUCAACUAGUUGUUGGGGAUUCAUUUCCUUAGUAACGUAGCUAACGCGUGAAGUUGACCGCCUGGGGAGUACGGUCGCAAGAUUAAAACUUAAAUGAAUUGACGGGGUCAUAGCU
rnacentral:rRNA from 1 species